GCCGGAGUGGCGAAAUCGGUAGACGCCCAGGACUUAAAAUCCUGUGGGUAGCGAUACCCGUGCCAGUUCGAUUCUGGUCUCCGGCACCA
rnacentral:tRNA from 1 species